GUGAAGCCAACGAGUCCAAAAGAUUUUGGGGUUAAGAACUGCCAUUGCCUGAUGGGAACCUUCUGGCCAUCUCUAUCUUUUUCUGAGACGGCAAUUCCUUGAGGUCCCUAGUGGACACUUCAGCAGAGGGUCACAGCCCAAUAUGACCAGGUUUCAUAGGCCUGGAGCUGCUGGAUCCCCUGAAGCCGAGGAGGGGACCAGAGACGGAGAGAGGAAGUGAACUCUGGAACGCCACCCAGUGAGCUCGGGCUAGAGCCAGACCCGAGGCACAGGCCAGCUGCCCUCUUUCCUUCUGUGGCCUUUGGCCAUUUCCUGGAAAGUAGGAUUAUUAAAUUGAUGGACAUGAGGAAGACAAUGAACUUGAGUGGGAAAAAAAUGACAUGUUCCUUGCUGCCAAGCCUGAUGACCUGAGUUCAAUUCC